UCUCCGUAGUUUAGUGGUAAAAAUUUAAAUUUUUAUUCAAAAGGUUGCGGGUUCGAAUCCCACUGGAAGAA
rnacentral:tRNA from 1 species